rnacentral:rRNA from 1 species
AUUGAACGCUGGCGGCAGGCCUAACACAUGCCAGUCGAGCGGAUGAAGGGAGCUUGCUCCUGGAUUCAGCGGCGGACGGGUGAGUAAUGCCUAGGAAUCUGCCUGGUAGUGGGGGAUAACGUCCGGAAACGGGCGUUAAUACCGCAUACGUCCUGAGGGAGAAAGUGGGGGAUCUUCGGACCUCACGCUAUCAGAUGAGCCUAGGUCGGAUUAGCUAGUUGGUGGGGUAAAGGCCUACCAAGGCGACGAUCCGUAACUGGUCUGAGAGGAUGAUCAGUCACACUGGAACUGAGACACGGUCCAGACUCCUACGGGAGGCAGCAGUGGGGAAUAUUGGACAAUGGGCGAAAGCCUGAUCCAGCCAUGCCGCGUGUGUGAAGAAGGUCUUCGGAUUGUAAAGCACUUUAAGUUGGGAGGAAGGGCAGUAAGUUAAUACCUUGCUGUUUUGACGUUACCAACAGAAUAAGCACCGGCUAACUUCGUG